rnacentral:rRNA from 1 species
UCGGGAAUUUUGGGCAAUGGGCGAAAGCCUGACCCAGCAACGCCGCGUGAAGGAUGAAGUCUCUCGGGAUGUAAACUUCGUAAGAAUAGGAAGAAUAAAUGACGGUACUAUUUGUAAGGUCCGGCUAACUACGUGCCAGCAGCCGCGGUAAUACGUAGGGACCAAGCGUUGUUCGGAUUUACUGGGCGUAAAGGGCGCGUAGGCGGCGUGGUAAGUCACUUGUGAAAUCUCCGAGCUUAACUCGGAACGGUCAAGUGAUACUGCUGUGCUAGAGUGCAGAAGGGGCAAUCGGAAUUCUUGGUGUAGCGGUGAAAUGCGUAGAUAUCAAGAGGAACACCUGAGGUGAAGACGGGUUGCUGGGCUGACACUGACGCUGAGGCGCGAAAGCCAGGGGAGCAAACGGGAU